rnacentral:sRNA from 1 species
CUAGGUUGGGUGAUUCCUCUUUUCUGUAGGAGUUUCUUCCCCACUUUCACCUAGUACAGGUGACUAAAUGCCCAUGUGAGGGCAUUAAGUGGGUAAGGCACUCUCUGGAAGCUUCUGCUUGAUAAGCCGCCUGUCUAAUUUGAGAAACAGCCCUGAUGGAGGGUAGCAGGUGGAGGUGCCAGGUGCAUUGUGUCAGGAGGGAGCCAUGAAAACUGCCGAACAGUGCUUGUCUAUGGCUUCACAAGUCCUUCAGUUCUUUUUUUGCUUUACUUUGUUUCAUAGAUAUUAAUGACUGUGAGAGCAACCCUUGUAGAAACGGUGGCACUUGCAUCGAUGGUGUCAACUCCUACAAGUGCAUCUGUAGUGACGGCUGGGAGGGGGCCUACUGUGAAACCAAUAUUAAUGACUGCAGCCAGAACCCCUGCCACAAUGGGGGCACGUGUCGCGACCUGGUCAACGACUUCUACUGUGACUGUAAAAACGGGUGGAAAGGAAAGACCUGCCACUCACGUGACAGUCAGUGUGACGAGGCCACGUGCAACAACGGUGGCACCUGCUAUGAUGAGGGGGAUGCUUUUAAGUGCAUGUGUCCUGGCGGCUGGGAAGGAACCACCUGUAACAUAGCCCGAAACAGUAGCUGCCUGCCCAACCCCUGCCAUAAUGGGGGCACAUGUGUGGUCAACGGCGAGUCCUUUACGUGUGUCUGCAAGGAAGGCUGGGAGGGGCCCAUCUGUGCUCAGAGUGAGUGUCCUCCCCCCUUGAACUCUCCCAGGGCUGUCGGAGCAGAUCCUGACACCCUUGGGGACUUGCAAUGGAAACCAGAAGCAGAGCUGUUUGAUGUCUGCUUUUGUAUCACCUGGGUCUGCAUUAAUGACUUGAUGGGAUACAGCCCUGACCUGGGCAUGAGAAAGUCGCCAAUGAGAUAAGUGGAGACAGAUGGCGUCUCAGUUCCCAGCUCUGGGUCUGACCAGCAGCCUGUCUCCUUCCAUUCUCACCCCCACCCCUAUCCCCUACCAGGGCCUCUUCCUGUGUACAUGUGUCCCACAGCAAAUGAAACUAAGUGUGGUGUGGGCCUGGUUCCAAUUUAGCAAAGGUAUUUUGCUGGUGUUAACUACGACUUUAUCAUUUGGGUAUUAGGGAAAUAAGUGGUGGUUUUACUUA